CCGAUGAGGCCCCCCCUGGACCGUACCCCGUCCCGCAGAAAAUGCGGCCAUGUCCACGCCACAACGACCUGUCGUUCUCUGGUGACUCUCCAAAAAAAGGGACAAAUUUUGGAAUCCGAUGCGUGGAGAUACUUUUGGGUCAGUCAUUAUGACAGUAGGUCUCCGUCCUUACCCAUGUUGUGGGGGCACCUCUUUCUUCUUCU
rnacentral:lncRNA from 1 species